rnacentral:rRNA from 1 species
GACGAACGCUGGCGGCGUGCUUAACACAUGCAAGUCGAACGGAAAGGCCCAGCUUGCUGGGUGCUCGAGUGGCGAACGGGUGAGUAACACGUGGGUGAUCUGCCUCUAACUUCGGGAUAAGCUUGGGAAACUGGGUCUAAUACCGGAUAGGACAAUCGUUUAGUGUCGGUUGUGGAAAGUUUUUUCGGUUAGGGAUGAGCCCGCGGCCUAUCAGCUUGUUGGUGGGGUAAUGGCCUACCAAGGCGUCGACGGGUAGCCGGCCUGAGAGGGUGGACGGCCACAUUGGGACUGAGAUACGGCCCAGACUCCUACGGGAGGCAGCAGUGGGGAAUAUUGCACAAUGGGCGCAAGCCUGAUGCAGCGACGCCGCGUGGGGGAUGACGGCCUUCGGGUUGUAAACCUCUUUCGACAGGGACGAAGCUUUGGUGACGGUACCUGUGUAAGAAGCACCGGCUAACUACGUG